rnacentral:rRNA from 1 species
UACAGAGGUCUCGAGCGUUGUUCGGAUUCAUUGGGCGUAAAGGGUGCGUAGGCGGCUUUUUAAGUCGGAUGUGAAAACUCUGGGCUCAACCCAGAGCCUGCAUCCGAAACUGGAGAGCUUGGGUUCUGGAGGGGAAAGCGGAAUUCCUGGUGUAGCAGUGAAAUGCGUAGAUAUCAGGAGGAACACCGGUGGCGAAGGCGGCUUUCUGGACAGAUACCGACGCUGAGGCACGAAAGCUAGGGGAGCAAACAGG